rnacentral:rRNA from 1 species
GACGAACGCUGGCGGCGUGCCUAACACAUGCAAGUCGAACGGAAAGGCCCUGCGUUUGUGGGGUGCUCGAGUGGCGAACGGGGGAGUAACACGCGAGUAACCUGCCCUUGACUUUGGGAGAACUUCAGGAAACUGGGGCUAAUACCGGAUAGGAGAUCCUGCUGCGUGGUGGGGGUUGGAAAGUUUCGGCGGUUGGGGAUGGACUCGCGGCUUAUCAGCUUGUUGGUGGGGUAGGGGCUUACCAAGGCUUUGACGGGUAGGCGGCCUGGGAGCGUGGCCGGGCACCUUGGGCCUGCGAUACGGCCCAGUCUCCUACGUGAGGCAGCAGUCGGGAAUCUUGCACAGUGGGCCCGCGCCUGUUGCAGCGGCGCCCCGUUCGUGAUGCCGGCUUUCUGGUUGAGAACCGCUUUCGCCUGUGACGAAGCGUGAGUGACGGUACUGGGUAAAGAAGCACCGGCUAACUACGUG